GGACAGGUGGCCGAGUGGUCGAAGGCGCACGCCUGGAAAGCGUGUAGGCGGGUAACUGUCUCCAGGGUUCGAAUCCCUGUCUGUCCGCCA
rnacentral:tRNA from 1 species